GGAGGAAAGUAGGGGAUCGCAAGACCUUGCGCUAAAGGAGCGGCCGAUGUCUGAUUAGCUAGUUGGUGGGGUAAAGGCUUACCAAGGCAACGAUCAGUAGUUGGUCUGAGAGGACGACCAACCACACUGGGACUGAGACACGGCCCAGACUCUACGGGAGGCAGCAGUGGGGAAUUUUGGACAAUGGGCGAAAGCCUGAUCCAGCCAUGCCGCGUGAGUGAAGAAGGCUUCGGGUUGUAAAGCUCUUUUAGUCAGAAAGAAAGAAUCAUGAUGAAUAAUUAUGAUUUAUGACGGUACUGACAGAAAAAGCACCGGCUAACUACGUGCCAGCAGCCGCGGUAAUACGUAGGGUGCGAGCGUUAAUCGGAAUUACUGGGCGUAAAGGGUGCGCAGGCGGUUUUGUAAGUCAGAUGUGAAAGCCCCGGGCUUAACCUGGGAAUUGCGUUUGAAACUACAAGGCUAGAGUGCAGCAGAGGGGAGUGGAAUUCCAUGUGUAGCAGUGAAAUGCGUAGAGAUGUGGAAGAACACCGAUGGCGAAGGCAGCUCCCUGGGUUGACACUGACGCUCAUGCACGAAA
rnacentral:rRNA from 1 species